rnacentral:rRNA from 1 species
GAUCCUGGCUCAGGACGAACGCUGGCGGCGUGCUUAACACAUGCAAGUCGAACGGAGCGCUAUGGAAUGAGGUUUCGGCCAAAGGAAAUGGUUGCUUAGUGGCGGACUGGUGAGUAACGCGUGAGGAACCUGCCUUUCAGAGGGGGACAACAGUUGGAAACGACUGCUAAUACCGCAUGACGCAUGACCGGGGCAUCCCGGACAUGCCAAAGAUUUAUCGCUGAAAGAUGGCCUCGCGUCCGA